AGNCGGCGAACGGGUGAGUAACACGUGAGUAACCUGCCCCUGACUCUGGGAUAAGCCUGGGAAACCGGGUCUAAUACCGGAUGUGACCUCCUCCGGCAUCGGAUGGUGGUGGAAAGUUUUUCGGUCAGGGAUGGGCUCGCGGCCUAUCAGCUUGUUGGUGGGGUAGUGGCCUACCAAGGCGACGACGGGUAGCCGGCCUGAGAGGGCGACCGGCCACACUGGGACUGAGACACGGCCCAGACUCCUACGGGAGGCAGCAGUGGGGAAUAUUGCGCAAUGGGCGGAAGCCUGACGCAGCGACGCCGCGUGGGGGAUGACGGCCUUCGGGUUGUAAACCUCUUUCAGCAGGGACGAAGUUGACGUGUACCUGCAGAAGAAGCGCCGGCUAACUACGUGCCAGCAGCCGCGGUAAUACGUAGGGCGCAAGCGUUGUCCGGAAUUAUUGGGCGUAAAGAGCUCGUAGGUGGCUGGUCGCGUCUGCCGUGAAAGCCCGCAGCUUAACUGCGGGUCUGCGGUGGAUACGGNCCGGCUAGAGGUAGGUAGGGGCAAGUGGAAUUCCU
rnacentral:rRNA from 1 species